rnacentral:rRNA from 1 species
UACGUAGGGUGCAAGCGUUGUCCGGAAUUAUUGGGCGUAAAGAGCUCGUAGGUGGUUUGUCGCGUUGUUCGUGAAAACCGGGGGCUUAACCCUCGGCGUGCGGGCGAUACGGGCAGACUUGAGUUCGGUAGGGGAGACUGGAAUUCCUGGUGUAGCGGUGAAAUGCGCAGAUAUCAGGAGGAACACCGGUGGCGAAGGCGGGUCUCUGGGCCGAUACUGACGCUGAGGAGCGAAAGCGUGGGGAGCGAACAGG